GUGCCUCCCACUGCACGUGUCGGGGCCUGAACAGGGUCUUUCAGAAGUCGGACGGCUCCUGCAUCUGCCAGGCGGGAUAUAAGUCCUAUGACGAUGAUGAGAGCAGCAGUGAAGAGGAUUGUCAGCCCCAGGUCGUGGAGCGCUGCCCACCUGGGGAAGUCCUCUUGGCUGCCACCCGUACCUGUGUGUCCCCCCGGCAGCACAACUGCUCUUCCUUCUGUCACCCGGCGGGAGGCCAGCUCAACACGAAGCUGGGCAUGUCCACCUGUGUCCAGCUCAAGGCAGCAGAGGCAACCUUGGACCCCAGGCCCGGGGCACCGUGCCCCACAGGAUCCCAGCAUCCACCCCCACAUUCCAAACCCAGUGGUCUGCCUGGCAGCAGGGGACGUGGUUCUUUUCCAGCUUCACAUUCUUCCCUACAAUCGUUCGGCCAGUCACUACCCCGUGUACCAGACACAGCACCUGUUCAACAGCAACCCCCACUGGGACUUCGGGGCCUUCAGGCAGCUCGAACACCUGGUGCGGGAGACCCACCUCAGCUUCUCCAGGUUUGCUCACCGGUUUGUAGAUCCGGGCACGUACGUGUUUCAGGACAACGGGCUGCCCGAGAGCCUGGCUGUGGUGUUGGUGAAGGAGCAAGGGGUGGCCUGCGACCCGGGCCUGCCGCCCGUGCAGCCCUCCUCACCCUAUCAGCUUGCCAGACAUGGUGUCCUCAGGCACCAGCCGCCAAACCUGGGCCCAGACUGGGCGGCAAUCUCAGGUACUGGCCACUGA
rnacentral:lncRNA from 1 species